AUUGAACGCUGGCGGCAUGCCUUACACAUGCAAGUCGAACGGUAACGGGCUUUCGGGUGCCGCUGAGUGGCGGACGGGUGCGUAAUACAUCGGAACGUGCCCGAUCCUGGGGGAUAACGGGGCGUAAGGUUUGCUAAUAUAGCAUACGAUCUAAGGCUGAAAGCAGGGGAACGCAAGGCCUUGUGCGGACGGGGCGGCCGAUGGCAGAUUAGGUAGUUGGUGGGAUAAAAGCUUACCAAGGCGACGAUCUGUAGCUGGUCUGAGAGGAUGAUCAGCCACACUGGGACUGAGACACGGCCCAGACUCCUACGGGAGGCAGCAGUGGGGAAUUUUGGACAAUGGGCGCAAGCCUGAUCCAGCCAUGCCGCGUGCAGGAUGAAGGCCUUCGGGUUGUAAACUGCUUUUGUACGGAACGAAAAGCCUUCUUUUAAUACAGGGGGGUCAUGACGGUACCGUAAGAAUAAGCACCGGCUAACUACGUG
rnacentral:rRNA from 1 species